CCCUUAGAUGCUCUGGGCCGCACGCGCGCUACACUGGUCGAUGCAACGAGUUUCUUUCCUUGGCCGACAGGCCUGGGCAAUCUUUGAACAUCGAUCGUGAUCGGGAUAGAUUCUUGUAAUUUUUGAUCUUAAACGAGGAAUUCCUAGUAAACGCAAGUCAUCAGCUUGCAUUGAUUACGUCCCUGCCCUUUGUACACACCGCCCGUCGCUCCUACCGAUUUCGAGUGGUUCGGUGAACCUUUCGGACCGGCAAUGCCUCGUGUUGCGCCGGAAAGUCAAGUAAACCAUAUCACUUAGAGGAAGGAGAAGUCGUAACA
rnacentral:rRNA from 1 species